rnacentral:rRNA from 1 species
CCUACGGGCGGCUGCAGUGGGGAAUAUUGCACAAUGGGCGCAAGCCUGAUGCAGCCAUGCCGCGUGUGUGAAGAAGGCCUUCGGGUUGUAAAGCACUUUCAGCGGGGAGGAAGGCGUUAAGGUUAAUAACCUUGUCGAUUGACGUUACCCGCAGAAGAAGCACCGGCUAACUCCGUGCCAGCAGCCGCGGUAAUACAGAGGGUGCAAGCGUUAAUCGGAAUUACUGGGCGUAAAGCGCACGCAGGCGGUCUGUCAAGUCGGAUGUGAAAUCCCCGGGCUCAACCUGGGAACUGCAUUCGAAACUGGCAGGCUAGAGUCUUGUAGAGGGGGGUAGAAUUCCAGGUGUAGCGGUGAAAUGCGUAGAGAUCUGGAGGAAUACCGGUGGCGAAGGCGGCCCCCUGGACAAAGACUGACGCUCAGGUGCGAAAGCGUGGGGAGCAAACAGGAUUAGAUACCCCUGUAGUC